GUUUGCUUUUCACAAGAAGCAUUGCCUUAUGUGAAUGAUGCCUCGCACAAAAGAGCUCUCAGAAGACCUACGAUUAAGAAUUGUUGACUUGCAUAAAGCUGGAAAGGGUUAUAAAAGUAUCUCCAAAGCCUUGCUGUUCAUCAGUCCACGGUAAGACAAAUUGUCUAUAAAUGGAGAAAGUUCAGCACUGCUGCUACUCUCCCUAGGAGUGGCCGUCCUGUAAAGAUGACUGCAAGAGCACAGCGCAGACUGCUCAAUGAGGUGAAAAAGAAUCCUAGAGUGUCAGCUAAAGACUUACAAAAGUCACUGGCAAAUGCUAACAUCUCUGUUAGCGAAUCUACAAUACAUAAAACACUAAACAAGAAUGGAUUUCAUGGGAGGAUACCACAGAGGAAGCCACUGCUGUCCAAACAAAACAUUGCUGCACGUUUACAGUUUGCACAAGAGCACCUGGAUGUUCCACAGCAGUACUGGCAAAAUAUUCUGUGGACAGAUGAAACCAAAGUUGAGUUGUUUG
rnacentral:lncRNA from 1 species